rnacentral:tRNA from 1 species
UGGGGUUGUAGCUCUGUGGUACAGAGCACUUGCCUAGCAUGUGUGAGACACUGAGUUCAAUUCUCAGCACCACAA